rnacentral:rRNA from 1 species
GGUUGAUCCUGCCAGUAGUCAUAUGCUUGUCCCAAAGAUUAAGCCAUGCAUGUCCAAGUAUAAACGAGUAUACGGUGAAACUGCGAAAGGCUCAUUAUAUCAGUUAUAAUUUACUUGAAGGAGAAAGAUUACAUGGAUAACCGUGGUAAUUCUAGAGCUAAUACAUGCAAAGAGCCCUCGCGGGUGGUAUUUAUUAGAUAAAACCUUUGCCUUUGGGCAGCUGGUGAGUCAUGAUAACUGGGCGGAUCGCAGGGCGUUGAGCCGGCGACGCUUCAAAGAAAUUUCUGCCCUA